GAUGAACGCUGGCGGCGUGCCUAAUACAUGCAAGUCGAGCGAACAGACGAGGAGCUUGCUCCUCUGACGUUAGCGGCGGACGGGUGAGUAACACGUGGAUAACCUACCUAUAAGACUGGGAUAACUUCGGGAAACCGGAGCUAAUCCCGGAUAAUAUAUUGAACCGCAUGGUUCAAUAGUAAAAGACGGUUUUGCUGUCACUUAUAGAUGGAUCCGCGCCGCAUUAGCUAGUUGGUAAGGUAACGGCUUACCAAGGCGACGAUGCGUAGCCGACCUGAGAGGGUGAUCGGCCACGCUGGAACUGAGACACGGUCCAGACUCCUACGGGAGGCAGCAGUAGGGAAUCUUCCGCAAAGGGCGAAAGCCUGACGGAGCAACGCCGCGUGAGUGAUGAAGGUCUUCGGAUCGUAAAACUCUGUUAUUAGGGAAGAACAAAUGUGUAAGUAACUAUGCACGUCUUGACGGUACCUAAUCAGAAAGCCACGGCUAACUACGUG
rnacentral:rRNA from 1 species